AGAGUUUGAUCAUGGCUCAGAUUGAACGCUGGCGGCAGGCCUAACACAUGCAAGUCGAGCGGUAGCACAGAGAGCUUGCUCUCGGGUGACGAGCGGCGGACGGGUGAGUAAUGUCUGGGAAACUGCCUGAUGGAGGGGGAUAACUACUGGAAACGGUAGCUAAUACCGCAUAACGUCGUAAGACCAAAGUGGGGGACCUUCGGGCCUCAUGCCAUCAGAUGUGCCCAGAUGGGAUUAGCUAGUAGGUGGGGUAACGGCUCACCUAGGCGACGAUCCCUAGCUGGUCUGAGAGGAUGACCAGCCACACUGGAACUGAGACACGGUCCAGACUCCUACGGGAGGCAGCAGUGGGGAAUAUUGCACAAUGGGCGCAAGCCUGAUGCAGCCAUGCCGCGUGUGUGAAGAAGGCCUUCGGGUUGUAAAGCACUUUCAGCGGGGAGGAAGGCGAUAAGGUUAAUAACCUUGUCGAUUGACGUUACCCGCAGAAGAAGCACCGGCUAACUCCGUGCCAGCAGCCGCGGUAAUACGGAGGGUGCAAGCGUUAAUCGGAAUUACUGGGCGUAAAGCGCACGCAGGCGGUCUGUCAAGUCGGAUGUGAAAUCCCCGGGCUCAACCUGGGAACUGCAUUCGAAACUGGCAGGCUAGAGUCUUGUAGAGGGGGGUAGAAUUCCAGGUGUAGCGGUGAAAUGCGUAGAGAUCUGGAGGAAUACCGGUGGCGAAGGCGGCCCCCUGGACAAAGACUGACGCUCAGGUGCGAAAGCGUGGGGAGCAAACAGGAUUAGAUACCCUGGUAGUCCACGCCGUAAACGAUGUCGAUUUGGAGGUUGUGCCCUUGAGGCGUGGCUUCCGGAGCUAACGCGUUAAAUCGACCGCCUGGGGAGUACGGCCGCAAGGUUAAAACUCAAAUGAAUUGACGGGGGCCCGCACAAGCGGUGGAGCAUGUGGUUUAAUUCGAUGCAACGCGAAGAACCUUACCUGGUCUUGACAUCCACAGAACUUUCCAGAGAUGGAUUGGUGCCUUCGGGAACUGUGAGACAGGUGCUGCAUGGCUGUCGUCAGCUCGUGUUGUGAAAUGUUGGGUUAAGUCCCGCAACGAGCGCAACCCUUAUCCUUUGUUGCCAGCGGUUAGGCCGGGAACUCAAAGGAGACUGCCAGUGAUAAACUGGAGGAAGGUGGGGAUGACGUCAAGUCAUCAUGGCCCUUACGACCAGGGCUACACACGUGCUACAAUGGCAUAUACAAAGAGAAGCGACCUCGCGAGAGCAAGCGGACCUCAUAAAGUAUGUCGUAGUCCGGAUUGGAGUCUGCAACUCGACUCCAUGAAGUCGGAAUCGCUAGUAAUCGUAGAUCAGAAUGCUACGGUGAAUACGUUCCCGGGCCUUGUACACACCGCCCGUCACACCAUGGGAGUGGGUUGCAAAAGAAGUAGGUAGCUUAACCUUCGGGAGGGCGCUUACCACUUUGUGAUUCAUGACUGGGGUGAAGUCGUAACAAGGUAACCGUAGGGGAACCUGCGGUUGGAUCACCU
rnacentral:rRNA from 1 species